rnacentral:rRNA from 1 species
GGAAAUCUCACCAGGCCCAGACACUGGAAGGAUUGACAGAUUGAUAGCUCUUUCUUGAUUCGGUGGGUGGUGGUGCAUGGCCGUUCUUAGUUGGUGGAGCGAUCUGUCUGGUUAAUUCCGAUAACGAACGAGACCCCAACCUGCUAACUAGCCCUCGGGUCCUGCUUCUGUUGGGCCCGACGGAAUGAUUCGCUUCUUAGAGGGACUCGCGGCGCCUAGCCGCACGAAGGGGGGCGAUAA